rnacentral:rRNA from 1 species
CAGUAGCCGCGGGAAUACGGAGGGAGCUAGCGUUGUUCGGAAUUACUGGGCGUAAAGCGCACGUAGGCGGUUAUUCAAGUCAGAGGUGAAAGCCCGGGGCUCAACCCCGGAACUGCCUUUGAAACUAGAUGACUGGAAUCUUGGAGAGGUCAGUGGAAUUCCGAGUGUAGAGGUGAAAUUCGUAGAUAUUCGGAAGAACACCAGUGGCGAAGGCGACUGACUGGACAAGUAUUGACGCUGAGGUGCGAAAGCGUGGGGAGCAAACAGGAUUAGAUACCCCCGUAGUCCCUGUCUCUUAUAC